rnacentral:rRNA from 1 species
CCUACGGGUGGCAGCAGUAGGGAAUCUUCGGCAAUGGGGGCAACCCUGACCGAGCAACGCCGCGUGAGUGAAGAAGGUUUUCGGAUCGUAAAGCUCUGUUGUAAGAGAAGAACGAGUGUGAGAGUGGAAAGUUCACACUGUGACGGUAACUUACCAGAAAGGGACGGCUAACUACGUGCCAGCAGCCGCGGUAAUACGUAGGUCCCGAGCGUUAUCCGGAUUUAUUGGGCGUAAAGCGAGCGCAGGCGGUUAGAUAAGUCUGAAGUUAAAGGCUGUGGCUUAACCAUAGUACGCUUUGGAAACUGUUUAACUUGAGUGCAGAAGGGGAGAGUGGAAUUCCAUGUGUAGCGGUGAAAUGCGUAGAUAUAUGGAGGAACACCGGUGGCGAAAGCGGCUCUCUGGUCUGUAACUGACGCUGAGGCUCGAAAGCGUGGGGAGCGAACAGGAUUAGAUACCCGGGUAGUC